rnacentral:rRNA from 1 species
AGAGUUUGAUCAUGGCUCAGGACGAACGCUGGCGGCGUGCCUAAUACAUGCAAGUAGAACGCUGACUACUUUAGCUUGCUAGAGUAGAAGGAGUUGCGAACGGGUGAGUAACGCGUAGGUAACCUGCCUACUAGCGGGGGAUAACUAUUGGAAACGAUAGCUAAUACCGCAUAACAGUGUUUAACACAUGUUAGAUGCUUGAAAGAUGCAAAUGCAUCACUAGUAGAUGGACCUGCGUUGUAUUAGCUAGUUGGUGGGGUAACGGCCUACCAAGGCGACGAUACAUAGCCGACCUGAGAGGGUGAUCGGCCACACUGGGACUGAGACACGGCCCAGACUCCUACGGGAGGCAGCAGUAGGGAAUCUUCGGCAAUGGGGGCAACCCUGACCGAGCAACGCCGCGUGAGUGAAGAAGGUUUUCGGAUCGUAAAGCUCUGUUGUAAGAGAAGAACGUGUGUGAGAGUGGAAAGUUCACACAGUGACGGUAGCUUACCAGAAAGGGACGGCUAACUACGUGCCAGCAGCCGCGGUAAUACGUAGGUCCCGAGCGUUGUCCGGAUUUAUUGGGCGUAAAGCGAGCGCAGGCGGUUUAAUAAGUCUGAAGUUAAAGGCAGUGGCUUAACCAUUGUUCGCUUUGGAAACUGUUAAACUUGAGUGCAGAAGGGGAGAGUGGAAUUCCAUGUGUAGCGGUGAAAUGCGUAGAUAUAUGGAGGAACACCGGUGGCGAAAGCGGCUCUCUGGUCUGUAACUGACGCUGAGGCUCGAAAGCGUGGGGAGCAAACAGGAUUAGAUACCCUGGUAGUCCACGCCGUAAACGAUGAGUGCUAGGUGUUAGGCCCCUUCCGGGGCUUAGUGCCGCAGCU